rnacentral:rRNA from 1 species
CGCGCAGGCGGUCCCUUAAGUCUGAUGUGAAAGCCCACGGCUCAACCGUGGAGGGUCAUUGGAAACUGGGGGACUUGAGUGCAGAAGAGGAAAGUGGAAUUCCAUGUGUAGCGGUGAAAUGCGUAGAGAUGUGGAGGAACACCAGUGGCGAAGGCGACUUUCUGGUCUGUAACUGACGCUGAGGCGCGAAAGCGUGGGAGCAAACA